rnacentral:sRNA from 1 species
GCUGGGCAUGGUGGCGCGUGCCUGUAAUCCCAGCUACUUGGGAGGCUGAGGCAGGAGAAUUGCCUGAACCCAGGAGGCGGAGGUUGCGGUGAGCCGAGAUUGUGCCAUUGCACUCCACCCUGGGUAACAAGAGCAAAACUCUGUCUCAA